AGCUCAGAGCCCUCUGUCCCCGCACGGGGCAGGAGAGGGGAGCUCCCAGCACCUCCCCGCAGCACCGAGGCUCAGCUCCAAGCUCAGGGAUUUCUUUCCUUUUUUCUCUGCCUUUGAAAGCUGCCGGCGGAGAUGUGAAGCCUACACAUACCCAGGGCCCCCCCCAGGCCCUUUCCAGCUGGAAAGAGGUGAGCAAUGCCAGCACAGCCCGCUCGGCUCUCAUACAAUCCCCAGCACUCGCUCCAGGUCUCUGCCGUCAGGAGGUGAGACCCCAUGGCCGGGGAGCCCCGCAUCCCCCCCAGCCUGCAGCGCUGGGGGCUGAAGGCCGAGGAGAAGACCCUGGACUUCGAGUUCGAGGUGCUGGGGGCUCAAUUCAACCGGCGGGGCCGCUACACCCUGCGGCUCAGCGUGGAGAACCCGCUGCUGCACGGCCCCACAGCCGGCGUCCUGCUGCGCAUCGGCAGAGGCACCGCCGUCCCCGCCAGCACCGGCACCACCGACACGGUGGAGCAGAGCCACCUGGAUGAGGUGUGCUCCUUCCAGCGGAGGAAAUUCACCUUCACACUGCCCAGAGGUUUCUGCAAGAACGACAGGAACCACGACGUGCGGCUGCGCAUCGAAGCCCUGCACUCGCCCAGGAGCCCAGCGAGGAAGAGGAAGGUGGGCGAAGCCUUCUUCGCCAUCUACCCCCGGCCCCCCCAGCCUCGCACGAAGCCCCCAGCGGGGCGGGAUGAGGACUGGUACCUGCUGCAGCACAGUGGCGGCUCUGCUGCGGGUGGGCAGCGAGCAGCCGGCCAUGCACUGCGGCCGCCUGGCCUUUGUGGCUGCCCUGCACGAGCACCGGCCACCCGCCACGAGGUCCCCACCGCUGUCACCCCAAGGCCAGGAGAGGGGGCAGCAAGAGGGGGACGCAGCCCCAGCACCCACGUCCCCAGCCGUGCCGUCCCCUGAAGUCCCCCUCCGCACACCCGAGUCCGCUUACCACUCGCUGCCCACAGAGAUGCCGCAGGCUGACCCUGCGCUCAGCUCCUCCCCGGAGCUCCCGGGUGACUCAGCAGGCGAGCAUCCCUCCUCCUCCUCCUCUUCCUCCUCCUCUUCCUCGGUGCCACCGCUCAGCUGCAGCAGUUUCCGCCUCUCCUCGCCAGGAUCCAGCCCGGAUCUGACCCCGUGGGCAGCGCAGCCCCACCGGGACGCCGUGGCCCUGCCACCAGCUGACACCGUGAGCAGCAUCCUGCCCGGGAUGCCACAGAGGUCCCGGGCCAUCCCCAGGGAGCUCCAGCAGCGGGAGGCGAGCAGGUACCGCCUGGCGCUGAAGAGGAUGGCAGGAGACCUCCUGUCCCUGCGCCGGCACGUCACCAGCCUGGAGGUGGAGAACGGGCACCUGACGGCACCGGCUGGCCGGGCACGAGGAGCCGGGCGGCGCGCUGCUCGCCGACCUGGACGUGGACGUGAUGACCAGGGAGGAGGUCCUGGACCGCCUGGCCACCCUGAAGGGCGAGCUGGUGGCGGGCACGAUGGAGAUGCGGCGGCUGAAGGACCGCGUGCAGCAGCUGCAGAAUGA
rnacentral:lncRNA from 1 species